CAGCAGCCGCGGUAAUACAGAGGGUGCGAGCGUUAAUCGGAUUUACUGGGCGUAAAGCGUGCGUAGGCGGCUUCUUAAGUCGGAUGUGAAAUCCUUGAGCUUAACUUAGGAAUUGCAUUCGAUACUGGGAAGCUAGAGUAUGGGAGAGGAUGGUAGAAUUCCAGGUGUAGCGGUGAAAUGCGUAGAGAUCUGGAGGAAUACCGAUGGCGAAGGCAGCCAUCUGGCCUAAUACUGACGCUGAGGUACGAAAGCAUGGGGAGCAAACAGGAUUAGAGACCCCCGUAGUCCCUGUCUCUUAUAC
rnacentral:rRNA from 1 species